UACGUAGGGGGCUAGCGUUGUCCGGAAUCAUUGGGCGUAAAGCGCGUGUAGGCGGUUCGGUAAGUCGGCUGUGAAAGUCCAGGGCUCAACCCUGGGAUGCCGGUCGAUACUGCCGGACUAGAGUUCGGAAGAGGCGAGUGGAAUUCCCGGUGUAGCGGUGAAAUGCGCAGAUAUCAGGAAGAACACCCGUGGCGAAAGCGGCUCUCUGGGACGGUACUGACGCUGAGACGCGAAAGCGUGGGGAGCGAACAGG
rnacentral:rRNA from 1 species